rnacentral:rRNA from 1 species
AAUUUUGGACAAUGGGGGCAACCCUGAUCCAGCCAUCCCGCGUGUGCGAUGAAGGNCUNNGGGUUNUNAAGCACUUUUGCCGGNNNNNAAAAGGCCCCGAUUAAUACCUGGCCCCGCGGACGGUACCUGCAGAAUAAGACCCGGCUAACUACGUGCAAGCAGCCGCGGUAAUACGUAGGGUGCAAGCGUUAAUCGGAAUUACUGGGCGUAAAGCGUGCGUAGGCGGUUUGGCAAGAAAGAUGUGAAAUCCCAGGGCUUAACCUUGGAACUGCAUUUUUAACUGCCAGGCUAGAGUAUGUCAGAGGGGGGUAGAAUUCCACGUGUAGCAGUGAAUGCGUAGAGAUGUGGAGGAAUACCGAUGGCGAAGGCAGCCCCCUGGGAUAAUACUGACGCUCAGGCACGAAAGCGUGGGGAGCAAACA